CCUCACCCAAACUCCCCUGCCUCCUUUCAAAACCCAAGGCCACGUCCAACCUCACAGGCCCAAACCACGCUUACAUAACCCGCAGUGACACUAAGUGUUUGUGAGGCCUGCUGAAGUGGGGCUGGGGCUGCCUGCUCUGGAGCACAGGGGACAUUUUGUCCUGCAAAAUGAUGCUGUUUGGGGCGUGUGCGUGAGCGCGUGUUUUUCCCCUCCUGAAGUUCAAAAACAACUCCUUUUGCUCAAACUGUCAAAAAAGAGAAGAAGAAGAAAAAAAAGAAGAAGAAAGUCUGCAAUAAUUUCAGUGUUGGGCCCAGAUCAAGAAUUGCAAACACUAAGAUAAUAUUUUCCAAAGUUACCAGGCGAGUAGGAGUCGCCGAGUUACGGGAAAUUGGAGGCUGACCUGGUGUAACUUCCAGGGGCCCCGUCUCCUGGCUGCUUCCUCAACGGUGGUGGGCUUUUUCCUGUGAUCAUUACAGCUCACCGUGAUCUUGUCCUUACUACAUGCCAGGUUCCAGCAGAGAGCUUUUCCUGACCACGCUGAGAGGGAGGUGUGACUACGGAAGAAUGGCUGGAGAGAGGCAACGCUGCUUGGCUUUGAAGAUGGAAGGAGAAAGCCAGGAGCUAAGGAAUGCAGUAACCUCCAGGAUCUGGAAGAGGCAAGAGGACAGGAGCUCCUCUAGAGUCUCUGGAAAGGAGCACAGCCCCAGCACCUCGAUUUUAGCCCAGUCUGACCCAUGGCUGCCUUCAGACCUCCGGAACUGUCAAUUCAUAAAUUGGUUUUGUUUUAAGCCUUAUAAGUUUGUGGUAAUUUGUUACAGCAGCAUUAGGAAACUAAUACAGUGGAAGACAGUUCCAGGCAGAGGGAACAGCAUGUGCAAAGGCCUGGAG
rnacentral:lncRNA from 1 species